rnacentral:rRNA from 1 species
AUUGAACGCUGGCGGCAGGCCUAACACAUGCAAGUCGAGUGAGCGGCGGACGGGUGAGUAAUGUAUGGGGAUCUGCCCGAUAGAGGGGGAUAACUACUGGCAACGGUGGCUAAUACCGCAUACGAUCGGAUGAACCCAUAUGGGAUUAGCUAGUAGGUGGGGUAAAGGCUCACCUAGGCGACGAUCCCUAGCUGGUCUGAGAGGCUGACCGGCCACACUGGAACUGAGACACGGUCCAGACUCCUACGGGAGGGAGCAGUGGGGAAUAUUGCAAAAUGGGCGCAAGCCUGAUGCAGCAAUGCCGCGUGUAUGAAGAAGGCCUUCGGGUUGUAAAGUACUGUCAGCGAGGAGGCGUUACUCGCAGAAGAAGCACCGGCUAACUCCGUGCCAGCCGCCGCGGUAAUUC